ACAUGUCCGCAUGAUUAAAGGUAUUUUCCGGUAGACGAUGGGGAUGCGUUCCAUUAGAUAGUAGGCGGGGUAACGGCCCACCUAGUCAACGAUGGAUAGGGGUUCUGAGAGGAAGGUCCCCCACAUUGGAACUGAGACACGGUCCAAACUCCUACGGGAGGCAGCAGUGAGGAAUAUUGGUCAAUGGGCGAUGGCCUGAACCAGCCAAGUAGCGUGAAGGAUGACUGCCCUAUGGGUUGUAAACUUCUUUUAUAAAGGAAUAAAGUCGGGUAUGCAUACCCGUUUGCAUGUACUUUAUGAAUAAAGAUCGGCUAACUCCGUGCCAGCAGCCGCGGUAAUACGGAGGAUCCGAGCGUUAUCCGGAUUUAUUGGGUUUAAAGGGAGCGUAGAUGGAUGUUUAAGUCAGUUGUGAAAGUUUGCGGCUCAACCGUAAAAUUGCAGUUGAUACUGGAUGUCUUGAGUGCAGUUGAGGCAGGCGGAAUUCGUGGUGUAGCGGUGAAAUGCUUAGAUAUCACGAAGAACUCCGAUUGCGAAGGCAGCCUGCUAAGCUGCAACUGACAUUGAGGCUCGAAAGUGUGGGUAUCAAACAGGAUUAGAUACCCUGGUAGUCCACACGGUAAACGAUGAAUACUCGCUGUUUGCGAUAUACGGCAAGCGGCC
rnacentral:rRNA from 1 species